rnacentral:rRNA from 1 species
UACGGGGGGAGCAAGCGUUGUUCGGAUUUACUGGGCGUAAAGGGCGCGUAGGCGGUCGUGACAAGUCACUUGUGAAAUCUCCGGGCUUAACUCGGAACGGUCAAGUGAUACUGUCGGACUAGAGUACAGAAGGGGCAACUGGAAUUCUCGGUGUAGCGGUGAAAUGCGUAGAUAUGAGGAAGAACACCCGUGGCGAAGGCGGCUCUCUGGAACGCAACUGACGCUGAGACGCGAAAGCGUGGGGAGCAAACAGG